CACUCUAAGUCUACUUCCACAG
rnacentral:miRNA from 1 species